UCUACCGGUUCUAUAGAACUGGUGCGAACCGGGGGCAACCCACCACUGAUUAGAUGUAAUGUAAUGUAAACAAGUAUACAGGAUAAGCUGUUUCUCUUUAUCAAGGUAUAACAACAAAGUCAUACCAUUGGUCCUCUACACCAUGAUGUUAUAAUUAAUAAGCUGUAAAGUAGAUAAAACAGGUCUCUUUCGUGGACACUUUUAUCAAGUAGGAUCCAUUCUAUGACUGCCAUAAAAGGAAUUAGUGGCCUGAAAAUGCUACAUCAAAAAAGAUGUGGUACAGUCAUUGACAACAAGAGCUUAUCCAGGCAGUUUUAAGAGUGAUCUGAAGAAAAACAAAGUUAGCUAUUAUUGUCAGUCCAGUGCAAAUAUCUGAAGAAGUGAUGGGAGAAAUAGCAGUCUUUAUCUUCCUGGAUGCAAAAAAUGCUGCAAUGGAGACUGUAAUCAUGAAACAGAAUGACCUCUGCUUUUUGGAGAGAGAGAGACUAUUAGAAAUGUACUCAAAAACCAUACUGACAGCAAUGAUUUGUAAAGAUUUGUAAAAUUUGUUAUAAACCUGAAAUCUGAAAAAAUACAAAUUGAUGCCUUUGUACAGAGGUGCUGGAGAAAA